rnacentral:misc_RNA from 1 species
GUGGGAGCUGGCUUGCCUGCGAUAGCGGUCUGCCAGCCAGCACAUUUGGCGACCGGUCGUCCGCCAUCGCAGGCAAGCCAGCUCCCAC